GACGAACGCUGGCGGCGUGCCUAAUACAUGCAAGUCGAGCGAGCUUGCCUAGAUGAAUUUGGUGCUUGCACCAAAUGAAACUAGAUACAAGCGAGCGGCGGACGGGUGAGUAACACGUGGGUAACCUGCCCAAGAGACUGGGAUAACACCUGGAAACAGAUGCUAAUACCGGAUAACAACACUAGACGCAUGUCUAGAGUUUAAAAGAUGGUUCUGCUAUCACUCUUGGAUGGACCUGCGGUGCAUUAGCUAGUUGGUAGGGUAACGGCUUACCAAGGCAAUGAUGCAUAGCCGAGUUGAGAGACUGAUCGGCCACAUUGGGACUGAGACACGGCCCAAACUCCUACGGGAGGCAGCAGUAGGGAAUCUUCCACAAUGGACGCAAGUCUGAUGGAGCAACGCCGCGUGAGUGAAGAAGGGUUUCGGCUCGUAAAGCUCUGUUGGUAGUGAAGAAAGAUAGAGGUAGUAACUGGCCUUUAUUUGACGGUAAUUACUUAGAAAGUCACGGCUAACUACGUGCCAGCAGCCGCGGUAAUACGUAGGUGGCAAGCGUUGUCCGGAUUUAUUGGGCGUAAAGCGAGUGCAGGCGGUUCAAUAAGUCUGAUGUGAAAGCCUUCGGCUCAACCGGAGAAUUGCAUCAGAAACUGUUGAACUUGAGUGCAGAAGAGGAGAGUGGAACUCCAUGUGUAGCGGUGGAAUGCGUAGAUAUAUGGAAGAACACCAGUGGCGAAGGCGGCUCUCUGGUCUGCAACUGACGCUGAGGCUCGAAAGCAUGGGUAGCGAACAGG
rnacentral:rRNA from 1 species